rnacentral:rRNA from 1 species
GCAUGCAAGUCGAGCGAGAACGUAGCAAUACGGGGACAGCGGCGAAAGGGACAGUAAUGUGUAGAUCAUCUACCCUCAGGUCUGGGAUAGCCGCGGGAAACUGCGGGUAAUACCAGAUGAUGUCUCCGGAUCAAAGGUGUGAUUCCGCCUGAGGAUGAGUCUACAUCCUAUUAGCUAGUUGGUAGGGUAAUGGCCUACCAAGGCAAUGAUGGGUAGCGGGUGUGAGAGCACGACCCGCGUCAUUGGGACUGAGACACUGCCCAGACACCUACGGGUGGCUGCAGUCGAGAAUCUUCGGCAAUGGGCGCAAGCCUGACCGAGCGACGCCGCGUGUGGGAUGAAGGCCUUCGGGUUGUAAACCACUGUCAGAGGGGAUGAAAUGCAGGUGGGUUCUCCCAUCUGUUUGACAUAGCCUCAGAGGAAGGACGGGCUAAGUUCGUGCCAGCAGCCGCGGUAAGACGAACCGUCCGAACGUUAUUCGGAAUCACUGGGCUUAAAGGGUGCGUAGGCGGCGCGGAAAGUUGGGUGUGAAAUCCCUCGGCUCAACCGAGGAACUGCGCCCAAAACUACCGUGCUUGAGGGAGAUAGAGGUGAGCGGAACUUAGGGUGGAGCGGUGAAAUGCGUUGAUAUCCUAAGGAACACCGGUGGCGAAAGCGGCUCACUGGAUCUCUUCUGACGCUGAGGCACGAAAGCUAGGGUAGCGAACGGGAUUAGAUACC